rnacentral:rRNA from 1 species
ACGCUGGCGGCAGGCUUAACACAUGCAAGGCCUCACGCUUUUGGAGCGGCCGAUAUCCGAUUAGCUUGUUGGUGAGGUUAAAGGGCUUACCAAGGCUAUGAUCGGUAGCUGGUCUGAGAGGAUGAUCAGCCACACUGGGACUGAGACACGGCCCAGACUCCUACGGGAGGCAGCAGUGGGGAAUUUUGGACAAUGGGGGCAACCCUGAUCCAGCCAUUCCGCGUGAGUGAAGAAGGCCUUCGGGUUGUAAAGCUCUUUUGUCGGGGACGAAACGGUUUCACCUAAUACGUGAGACUACUGACGGUACCCGAAGAAUAAGCACCGGCUAACUACGUG